rnacentral:lncRNA from 1 species
GUUUAAUUCUGUUUUCCAGCGGCAUGGCUUGCAUGAAGCUUGGUUUACCUGUGUGGUGGCUGUGAGAAAGUGUCCCACAUGAUAGUCAGUGAUAGAAAAGAACAGAACAUACGGGAAAUGGGAAUAAAACAGCUACAUUGGGGAAGGAGAGAAGAGCGAAGGCUGAGAAUGUCCUAGAACUCUGCAACUUAAAGUGUGAUUCAGGGAUGGCUUCUGACCCUGCACAAGGCCUUCUCUGACCACAUUGAGCACCUGUCUGAGCACCCCCACUCCGGCUGGUUCAGCAGGCCCUGGGCCCCAGCUCCUUCUCUCUGCUCUUGCCAGCACUGAGUUAGCCGGUCUCCCUGAUUCUGCAGUUUCCUCUCAUCCUCCCCCCAUCGGGGUCAUGAAAGCACAAGAGCCGAUGGUGUUUGGACUGAAAGUCUACUACCGACCUUCCCUGCGAAGACUAGCCCUGAUUGCUGGUCUGGAUUCUAAGAUCCUGUGUGUGCCAAGACUCUUGUGCGCCCAGUAUGCCAUGAAUCCCACUGCACAUUGUGCGGCCAGCUGGAUGCUAGAGGGAAGGUUAAUGGAAGUCCCCAGUGGUCAGCUUGUCCUAUUAGCACCAUGGAAUUCAACAGGCCUGCUUGUGAAGGAAUGUGACCGAGUUAGGCAAGGAGGACACAGAGUCAGCCCUGCAUGCCUCUGUUCUCCCCCUUCUUUUAUAUGCAGACCUUCUGGUUGCCUCCUGAAGGAGGGAAGCCACAUUACAAAGAAAAGUGGAGUAAAUUUCAGGGAAGUGAUACACAAGCACAAAGAAAAAUUCAAUGUAAAAUGGCCCCCAAAUAUAAACGAAGAGCCAGGAGUUUGUCUUUGGGCUGUCUUUAAGAAAUGCGACAAAAU